AGUUAUUUGGCUGAAAGGAAAGCACUUGUCUUGAAAACAAGUAACAAAGGUUCGACUCCUUUAAUAACUU
rnacentral:tRNA from 1 species